CAAUAGCGUAUAUUAACGUUGUUGCAGUUAAAAAGCUCGUAGUUGGAUUUCUGGAGGGAGCGUCGGCCCGUAUUUACGAGUGCGUGACGUCUCUGUCCAUCCUUGCGGGAAGGCACGGCAUUGAUUUGUUGUGUCGGAUCGCAUCAUUUACUGUGAAAAAAUUAGAGUGUUCAAAGCAGGCUUUCGCUUGAAUACAUUAGCAUGGAGUAAUAAGAUAGGACUUUGGUGCUAUUUUGUUGGUUGAGCCUAAAGUAAUGAUUAAUAGGGAUAGUUGGGGGCACCUGUAUUGCGUUGUCAGAGGUGAAAUUCUUGGAUUUGCGCAAGACAAACAGCUGCGAAAGCGUCUGCCAAGGAUGUUUUCAUUAA
rnacentral:rRNA from 1 species